rnacentral:rRNA from 1 species
UUACACAUGCAAGUCGAACGGAAAGGUCUCUUCGGAGACACUCGAGUGGCGAACGGGUGAGUAACACGUGGGCGAUCUGCCCUGCACUUCGGGAUAAGCCUGGGAAACUGGGUCUAAUACCGGAUAGGACCACGGGAUUCAUGUCCUGUGGUGGAAAGCUUUUGCGGUGUGGGAUGGGCCCGCGGCCUAUCAGCUUGUUGGUGGGGUAACGGCCUACCAAGGCGACGACGGGUAGCCGGCCUGAGAGGGUGUCCGGCCACACUGGGACUGAGAUACGGCCCAGACUCCUACGGGAGGCAGCAGUGGGGAAUAUUGCACAAUGGGCGCAAGCCUGAUGCAGCGACGCCGCGUGGGGGAUGACGGCCUUCGGGUUGUAAACCUCUUUCACCAUCGACGAAGGUUCGGGUUUUCUCGGAUUGACGGUAAAUGGAGAAGAAGCACCGGCCAACUACGUGCCAGCAGCCGCGGUAAUACGUAGGGUGCGAGCGUUGUCCGGAAUUACUGGGCGUAAAGAGCUCGUAGGUGGUUUGUCGCGUUGUUCGUGAAAUCUCACGGCUUAACUGUGAGCGUGCGGGCGAUACGGGCAGACUAGAGUACUGCAGGGGAGACUGGAAUUCCUGGUGUAGCGGUGGAAUGCGCAGAUAUCAGGAGGAACACCGGUGGCGAAGGCGGGUCUCUGGGCAGUAACUGACGCUGAGGAGCGAAAGCGUGGGGAGCGAACAGGAUUAGAUACCCUGGUAGUCCACGCCGUAAACGGUGGGUACUAGGUGUGGGUUUCCUUCCUUGGGAUCCGUGCCGUAGCUAACGCAUUAAGUACCCCGCCUGGGGAGUACGGCCGCAAGGCUAAAACUCAAAGGAAUUGACGGGGGCCCGCACAAGCGGCGGAGCAUGUGGAUUAAUUCGAUGCGACGCGAAGAACCUUACCUGGGUUGACA